rnacentral:rRNA from 1 species
UACGUAGGGUGCAAGCGUUGUCCGGAAUUAUUGGGCGUAAAGAGCUCGUAGGCGGCUAGUCGCGUCGGCUGUGAAAACCUGGGGCUCAACCCCGGGCCUGCAGCCGAUACGGGCUAGCUAGAAUUCGGUAGGGGAGACUGGAAUUCCUGGUGUAGCGGUGAAAUGCGCAGAUAUCAGGAGGAACACCGGUGGCGAAGGCGGCAUCCUGGACCGGCAUUGACGCUGAGGAGCGAAAGCCAGGGGAGCAAACGGG